GGCGCAAGGCGCACCGGGCGCAGCCCUAGGGGCCUCGGGGCAGCUGAGGCGCAAGACCUCACUGAGGCGCAUCGAGGCGCACCGAGGCGCGAGGCGCACCGAGGCGCACCCCAAUGAGGCAAGGCACAUUAUAAAAUGGUGGGCUGCUAGGGUUUUUUUUUUUUAACUUGUCCAGCAGCCAACAGCCAGCAAAAAGAAAAAAAGAAGAAGAAGAAGAAGAAGAGGAGUGAAGGGAGAGAUCUCAAACAAACCUGAUGGAAUCGGAGGCAUCUACCGCUGCUAAAACUGACAAUAGCAACAAAGAUCCCACAUGGAAAUAUGUCCACUUGGUGAAUCCAAACAAUAGAAAUGAUGUUGCUUGUAACUUUUGUAGCAAAGUUACAAAAGGAGGGAUAUUUCGAGCUACACAGCAUUAGUUGGAGGAUUUCGAAAUGCUACAAUGUGUAAGAAGUGUCCAACACAUGUGCGUGAAGAGCUACAAGAGUAUAUGCAGCAAAAGGCUUCAGCAAAGACCUUAGAUAAAUUGCCUGAUUAUGAGGAUGUUGAAAUUCUUGGAGAUGACGAAGAUGAAGAUGAUGUUGGGAUAAUUCUUAGAGGCUCAAAAGGAAAUAGUAAGGUUCAAAAGAAGGCAAGGACAAAGGGUCCAAUAGAUUUAUAUUUUGCCAAAAGUGCUGCAAAGGCGGUACAGGAUAGAAAAAAUUCAAAGCUGAAGCAAACCACUAUUAAUGAGGCAUGUAAAAAGGAAUUGAGAAAAAAAGCAUGUAAGGAUAUAGCUCGAUGGAUGUAUGAUGCGGCAAUUCCUUUUAAUGCUGUCAAUUAUCCAAGUUUUCAAGUUAUGGUGGAGUUUAUUGGACAAUUUGGGAUUGGUAUGAAAGCACCUAGUUUUCAUGAGGUGCGGGUUCCCUUAUUGAAUGAAGAAGUUGCUGAGGUGAAGAAUUCAUUGAAGUCCUAUGAAGAAGAAUGGGCAAAAUAUGGUUGUUCUAUAAUGGCAGAUGGUUGGACUGAUAAGAAACAAAGGACUUUGAUUAAUUUCUUGGUGAAUUCUCCAAAGGGAACUGUUUUCAUGGAAUCUGUUGAUGCUUCAGAGUACUCAAAAACUGGUGAUAAGAUGUAUGACCUGCUUAAUAGAUUUGUAGAGCGUGUUGGAGAGGCUAAUGUGGUUCAAGUUGUGACAGAUAAUGCUAGCAAUUGUGUGCUUGCAGGGAAGUUGUUAGAAACAAAGUGCCCUCAUUUGUAUUGGACUCCCUGUGCUGCUCAUUGCCUAGAUUUGAUGCUAGAAGAUAUUGGAAAAAUUCCCAAAAUUCACAACACAAUUAAAAGGGCAGUGACAUUGAAUGGAUAUAUUUACAUUCGUCCGGGUGUGGUGAACAUGUUGCGGCACUUUACUGGUGAAAGAGAGCUAAUUAGGCCAGCUGUCACAAGAUUUGCAACUGCUUUUCUCACCCUUCAACGUAUACGUAAGAACAAGGCGAAUUUGAGAAAGAUGUUUACCUCAGAGGAAUGGACCAAAAGUAAGUGGGCAAAAGAACUGUCAGGUAAAAAAGUAUACAGUAUUGUCAUGAUGCCUACUUUUUGGACUAAUAUUGUUUAUAUCUUAAAGAUAUUUGGUCCAUUAGUUCGUGUGCUUAGAUUAGUUGAUGGUGAGAAAAUGCCUGCAAUGGGAUAUAUUUAUGAGGCGAUGGAUAGGGCUAAAGAAGCAAUUGCAAAGUCAUUUGAUGAAAAUGAAGAAAAAUACAAGACAAUUUUUGAGAUUAUUGAUAAACGAUGGGAAAGCCAACUCCAUCGACCUUUGCACGCAGCUGGAUAUUAUUUGAAUCCUGAAUUUUUUUAUUCAAAUGAGAAAAUUAAUGAAGAUGUUGAGGUUGUUACCGGUUUAUUCCAAGUUGUAGCAAGGUUGAUUCCAAGCAAAGAAGAGCAAGACAAAAUAAUGGCACAAUUGCCUUUUUAUCAAAAUGCUGAAGGUAUCUUUGGGAUGGAUAUGACAAUUAGGAAUCGAAAGAAAGUAUCUCCAACUACAUAGUGGCUAACUUAUGGAGCAACAACUCUAAAUUUGAGAAAUUUUGCUGUUAAAGUGCUUAGCCUCACUUGUAGUGCAUCUGGUUGUGAGCGUAAUUGGAGCAUCUUUGAGCAUAUUCACAGUAAAAAAAGAAAUAGACUAGCUCAAAAUCGCUUGAAUGAUUUGGUGUUUGUCAAGUACAAUCGGUCAUUAAAGCGUAGAUAUGAUGCACGUGACCGCAUUGACCCCAUCUCAUUGAAAGACAUUGAUGAUAGUAAUGAAUGGUUGAUGGGUCAAAUGGAGGAAGAGAUUGAUAGAGAUGAACUUGUUUUUGAAGAUGAUGAUUUGACAUGGAAUGUGGUUGCUGCAGCUACUGGAGCUGAAGAGAAUGCCUACAACACUAGAUUAAGCAAAGGGAAAAAUGUUGCAUCUACAUCACAGCAAAAAAGAAAAGUAUCAUCCACUCGUACUUCUUCACUUCUUGAAGACGAGGAAGAAAAUGAUGAUGAUGAAGAUGUUAAUUUGGAAGAUGAGUAUGAGGAGGAUAAUGAAGAUGAUGAAGAAGAUGAAGAAGAUGAAGAGGAUUUUGAUAUUUCUAUUGAUGGGGAUUGAACAUUUAGUAGUUUACUAGUUUAUUAAACUUUAAUUUUUAGUAGUUUAUUUUUAUCUCUUUUGGAUUAUAAACUAAUUAUUACUUGCAUAUUUGUUAGUUAUUAUUAUAUAGUUUUAUGUUACUUGA